GAUGAACGCUGGCGGCGUGCCUAAUACAUGCAAGUCGAGCGAACGGACGAGAAGCUUGCUUCUCUGAUGUUAGCGGCGGACGGGUGAGUAACACGUGGAUAACCUACCUAUAAGACUGGGAUAACUUCGGGAAACCGGAGCUAAUACCGGAUAAUAUUUUGAACCGCAUGGUUCAAAAGUGAAAGACGGUCUUGCUGUCACUUAUAGAUGGAUCCGCGCUGCAUUAGCUAGUUGGUAAGGUAACGGCUUACCAAGGCAACGAUGCAUAGCCGACCUGAGAGGGUGAUCGGCCACACUGGAACUGAGACACGGUCCAGACUCCUACGGGAGGCAGCAGUAGGGAAUCUUCCGCAAUGGGCGAAAGCCUGACGGAGCAACGCCGCGUGAGUGAUGAAGGUCUUCGGAUCGUAAAACUCUGUUAUUAGGGAAGAACAUAUGUGUAAGUAACUGUGCACAUCUCGACGGUACCUAAUCAGAAAGCCACGGCUAACUACGUGCCAGCAGCCGCGGUAAUACGUAGGUGGCAAGCGUUAUCCGGAAUUAUUGGGCGUAAAGCGCGCGUAGGCGGUUUUUUAAGUCUGAUGUGAAAGCCCACGGCUCAACCGUGGAGGGUCAUUGGAAACUGGAAAACUUGAGUGCAGAAGAGGAAAGUGGAAUUCCAUGUGUAGCGGUGAAAUGCGCAGAGAUAUGGAGGAACACCAGUGGCGAAGGCGACUUUCUGGUCUGUAACUGACGCUGAUGUGCGAAAGCGUGGGGAUCAAACAGGAUUAGAUACCCUGGUAGUCCACGCCGUAAACGAUGAGUGCUAAGUGUUAGGGGGUUUCCGCCCCUUAGUGCUGCAGCUAACGCAUUAAGCACUCCGCCUGGGGAGUACGACCGCAAGGUUGAAACUCAAAGGAAUUGACGGGGACCCGCACAAGCGGUGGAGCAUGUGGUUUAAUUCGAAGCAACGCGAAGAACCUUACCAAAUCUUGACAUCCUUUGACAACUCUAGAGAUAGAGCUUUCCCCUUCGGGGGACAAAGUGACAGGUGGUGCAUGGUUGUCGUCAGCUCGUGUCGUGAGAUGUUGGGUUAAGUCCCGCAACGAGCGCAACCCUUAAGCUUAGUUGCCAUCAUUAAGUUGGGCACUCUAAGUUGACUGCCGGUGACAAACCGGAGGAAGGUGGGGAUGACGUCAAAUCAUCAUGCCCCUUAUGAUUUGGGCUACACACGUGCUACAAUGGACAAUACAAAGGGCAGCGAAACCGCGAGGUCAAGCAAAUCCCAUAAAGUUGUUCUCAGUUCGGAUUGUAGUCUGCAACUCGACUACAUGAAGCUGGAAUCGCUAGUAAUCGUAGAUCAGCAUGCUACGGUGAAUACGUUCCCGGGUCU
rnacentral:rRNA from 1 species